AAAACCUCCAGGGCAUCUUACUAAAAUGCACAUUCUGAUCCAGUGGGUCUGAACUGGGGCCUAAGAUUCUGUAUUUCUAACAAGCUCCCAGGUGACACAGAA
rnacentral:miRNA from 1 species